AACAUCUGCAAGAAAACCACCCAGCUCAGAGAGCACCAAGGACCUCCAGUUCAAUCCUGAGCUACAAAUAUCCCUCUUCUAUUAGAAGUAUUCCAUCUGCCCCCUUUCACCUUGGCUGAAUCCAGCUGUGACUUCCACCCCUGUAUUUGCAAGCAUAUUGCAAAGAUGCCACCAGCCGCUUUCAACACCGCCUGGCCUGGGCAGCCUUCUGAUAACCUCGCUAGGUUAAAUAUCAAGUUGACUGGAAAAUAUUUACCCAGCUCUUACGCAGGAGGAGAGAGGUGCCGGUUACCCCUUGAGCAAGGUUUUUAAAGAAGAUUUCGUUUUUAUUUGUUAUUUUUCACCAGCAACCUGCUUUAGCUCCCGCGCUAAGGGAAAGUUCUCACCUGCUGAAUUUGGUUGCCUUCCCUUCUGGGCAAGCAACUUUGGCCUCGGUCUGAUUCAGACAUGACCAAAAGCUGGUUUUAGUGUUUACCCAAAGCACGGUUGCAUGUUUACAAACGCCGGGCAAAGUUCAACCUUUCGAAAUCACAUCCAUUUCAGGAGGAUUAUCCAAUUAUUUUUCACAUUCAGGACAAAUUGUGGAAUAAACGACAACUGGGGGUAGCUUCUAUGAAGCAAGAUUUCCAAAGUCAUGGCUGAUUUCACAAUAUGCGAAGCCAGCAUCAAAUUAUUAUUAUUAUUAUUGCGUGGUUAAUCUUUGGUGAGAUUCCGAGUCCUAACCAAGGACCUAGGAACGGUUAAGGUCGAACGUCAACAUCCAACACUUCAAUCAAUUCCAGACUCAACAAGGCACCCCGUCUACACAGCAAACGGAAAUUAAAAAUUAAAAUUAAAUGAAAUGUCUGGGAAGAAAACCAACAAAUAACUCUGGCACCUCCUUUUCUGGGCCCACACCUACAGCAGGAAGAAAUGAAGUUCUAAUCACGGAGCCAUCAAAAAAUAAACUACAUUCCCAAGCCAGAUUGUCAGAGCCAGCUCCUAUCUGGCAAUCGCGAAUGAUGAUGAUGGGAACUUGCCUCGUAGCACAACUUUCUGUGGGAAAAUUGGAAGGCUGUGGGAAAAAAAUCACCAGCAAGCCAAAGAUUUCAUUCCUGGGAUCGACAGAGGUUCCCUUGUUGCAAGAUGGCGCUGGUUGUGUUGUGGAGAGAAGGACGUUCGCUUUAGGAAUUGGUCUUCAACGCUUUAGAACUCAGAAAGAGUGGGAGCUGGGUUAGGGGAACUGAGCUUCAUGCUGGCUGGGAUUCUGGGAUUUGAAGUCUUCAAGUUGCCAAGGUUGAGAAACGUUCAUGUAGAGGCAGGUAAGAGGAGAAAGA